UGUAUAGUACUUUUACUAGUCUCUAAGGACCCCAAAGUGCUUUACACAUUCAGUCAUCCACCCAUCCACACACUGGUGAUGGCAAGCCACAUAUACAAAUAUCAAAUAUAUGUGACAGGCAAAAACUAGUAAACACUUUUAGCAGUUACAACAACUUAGCUUAACAAUCUGCAUAUAAGUCUAUCAGUUAUGGAUAUAUUAGUUUUUCGCCUCCCACUGCUUAAGCCAUUAAUCUUUCUAGAAUUGUUCUUUGAAACAGAUGCGACCUCACAAAAGAUGUUAAUGAUGCAGUUAACGAACUCCGUGAGGAGGUCAGAGCCAACCACCAUCCCUGCUGCAAUGAAUCUGUAGAUGCUGGGGUAUUGCCUCUGGAUUUGCCCUUGCACAACAUGGAGGAGCUAAACAAUGCAGGGGCAGCUCUUCAAUCACCGGAGGCAAAUAAGGCAAUGGUGAGACGCUUUGCCUUGAUUGGAGGGACCACACUGGAGGUGCGAGUCCACCGCACCGCCAAACGAGCUGGCCUCGGUACUCAACUGGGCAGGGGAAAAAACCAAGGACCUUACAGAGCAAAAAAGGGCAAUUAAAGAGACAGCGCUGUGCAGAUGCAUAUUUGAUGGCCUGACGCAGCAGGUAGGGGCGAACUCUAUGUCUGAGUUGGUCUUUGCUUAAGCAGUCCAGAAAUGGCUCAGAUAAGCUCCAGAUCGUACGGGUGGCACAGGACGCACAUCAUCCAUCCCCAUCCCGGAGUAAAUAAUAAAAAGUGACGUGAAACAUAGAAAUGUAAAUAGGAAACUUUGUCUUUUAAUAAAGUAUUGAUACAUGUCUAUUGACCUUUUUUUUUUUUUUUUUCAAUAAAAAGCAACUGUGCAAAAGAGUUGGAAAAUCAA